AGCUGGCAUUUCAGUUAACUGCUAGUAGUCUGUUGUUAUUUAUGUAUUAUUGUCAUUUUGUUUAUUUUCUUUGGUUACAUCUUCUGACAUCAGACUCAGAUUUCUCUUGAACUGAAUUUUAAUGUGCGUUUUGUUAUGCGUUUACUUUUCUACAUUGGCUAGAGGUAUAGGGGGAGGGUUGAGAUCUCACAAACAUGUUUAACCCCGCCGCAUUUUUGCGCCUGUCCCAAGUCAGGAGCCUCUGGCCUUUGUUAGUCUUGUAUUAUUUUAAUUUUAGUUUCUUGUGUACAAUUUGGAAAUUAGUAUGGCGUUCAUUAUCACUGAACUAGUAUAUUUGUUUAGGGGCCAGCUGAAGGACGCCUCCGGGUGCGGGAAUUUCUCGCUACAUUGAAGACCUGUUGGUGACCUUCUGCUGUUGUUUUUUUCUAUGGUCGGGUUGUUGUCUCUUUGGC
rnacentral:lncRNA from 1 species